rnacentral:rRNA from 4 species
AGACCCGAAACCCGGUGAUCUAGCCAUGGGCAGGUUGAAGGUUGGGUAACACUAACUGGAGGACCGAACCGACUAAUGUUGAAAAAUUAGCGGAUGACCUGUGGCUGGGGGUGAAAGGCCAAUCAAACCGGGAGAUAGCUGGUUCUCCCCGAAAGCUAUUUAGGUAGCGCCUCGUGAAUUCAUCUCCGGGGGUAGAGCACUGUUUCGGCUAGGGGGCCAUCCCGGCUUACCAACCCGAUGCAAACUGCGAAUACCGGAGAAUGUUAUCACGGGAGACACACGGCGGGUGCUAACGUCCGUCGUGAAGAGGGAAACAACCCAGACCGCCAGCUAAGGUCCCAAAGUCAUGGUUAAGUGGGAAACGAUGUGGGAAGGCCCAGACAGCCAGGAUGUUGGCUUAGAAGCAGCCAUCAUUUAAAGAAAGCGUAAUAGCUCACUGGUCGAGUCGGCCUGCGCGGAAGAUGUAACGGGGCUAAACCAUGCACCGAAGCUGCGGCAGCGACGCUUAUGCGUUGUUGGGUAGGGGAGCGUUCUGUAAGCCUGCGAAGGUGGCCUGUGAGGGUUGCUGGAGGUAUCAGAAGUGCGAAUGCUGACAUAAGUAACGAUAAAGCGGGUGAAAAGCCCGCUCGCCGGAAGACCAAGGGUUCCUGUCCAACGUUAAUCGGGGCAGGGUGAGUCGACCCCUAAGGCGAGGCCGAAAGGCGUAGUCGAUGGGAAACGGGUUAAUAUUCCCGUACUUGGUGUUACUGCGAAGGGGGGACGGAGAAGGCUAUGUUGGCCGGGCGACGGUU